GACGAACGCUGGCGGCGUGCUUAACACAUGCAAGUCGAGCGGGAUCCAACCGGUGGCAACACCGGGGAAGAUCUAGCGGCGAACGGGUGAGUAACACGUGAGCAACCUGCCCCGAAGACUGGGAUAACACCGGGAAACCGGUGCUAAUACCGGAUGUCGUCAUUAGGCCGCAUGACCUGAUGAUGAAAGGAUUCAUCGCUUCGGGAGGGGCUCGCGGGCUAUCAGCNGUUGGUGGGGUAACGGCCUACCAAGGCGACGACGGCUAGCUGGUCUGAGAGGACGGACCAGCCACACUGGGACUGAGACACGGCCCAGACUCCUACGGGAGGCAGCAGUGGGGAAUCUUGCGCAAUGGGCGAAAGCCUGACGCAGCAACGCCGCGUGGGGGAUGAAUGCCUUCGGGUUCG
rnacentral:rRNA from 1 species